CUCCCCAAUCAGAGGCGCUUCGUGACUGCCUGGCAGAUGCGUCACGCUCGGGCCCGGAGUUCCCUUCCCCGAUUCGUGACUCGCCUGCCGGAGUCUCGGGCGGGACUCGGCAGUCUCUGCAGCUCUGCGAUCUGGACACAUCUCCUCCUCCUCUCCUCCUCCUCGAAGCCUCUGCCUGCCCUACGGAGAGCAUCCUUGGGAAAGAAGAGGUUUGCCGUGGCCUUUCUUUGAGGCUGAGAAAGUGGGAUUUACCCACGGUUGUCUGUUGCCUGGUGUGUCCACCUCUCUAGAGAUUCUAAGCAGACUCACUUCCUUUUCAUAAUUUAUUAAUUUCAACUCUCCAGUUGUGGAUCAGGGGUCUACUCAUCUUUUAUGAAGAAACAAGAAAAUAAACAAGAAAGUUUACUCCAUUGUGAAUCUUUAAGGCCAACCGUCCUAAACAGCGGACAGCAGCUCAGACUGUAAGGAGCAAGAGCAGUUGGAGGUCCCAGCAACUGAAUCUGAAGUAAAAAACUGCCAGCAGCUUACUCACUUCGGAACCAUUGCAAGUUCCAGAAACUUAAAGACAUAACGACAGCUUUGCCUUGGAGAGGUGACAGCAAAGGGAUUGGCUCACUGAUACUUUUAGACUGGCAUCUUAUCACCGGACUCUGUCUCUUUAAACAUCAGCGAUCAAGCCAUUAUGAAUUCAUAAACCACUUGUGAUACGUUAAACUUCACAUCUUCAUUUGGAUAUGCUCUCAGCAGAGUGUUUGCAGCCAUUUGGUGUCUUUCCUAUUUUGUUUCUUAUAUUCAGCAAAACGGACAAAAAUAUUACUGCUAUGUCUCUUAUGGUUGUUCAAUAAAAUGGAUAAUAAAAUAAACAAAUGAAUGGCAGUUAAAAACAGCGGGAGGGUCCCUCGACAGCUACUGGACAAGACACAACAGAGCUUUGCCGCUUGGCUGCUUGUCUCCCAUUCAGAGGCCAAAGGCAUGGCAGCAGAAACUAAGAUGGCGGUGUGUUAUCUGACUGACUCCCUCUCAGUAGCCAAAGGAAUGGCAGUUAAAGCUAGUAGGAGGGGCUCUCGGCAGCUUCUGCACAAAACAUAAUGCAACUAUGUCUCCUGACUGACUGACUCCCUUUCAGUGGCUAAAGGAAUGGCAGCUAAAGGCACUGGGAGUCUCAAUAGCUGCUUGAGAAGACAGGAUGGUGCUGUGUCCUUUGACUGCCACCUUCCCACUCAGUGGCCAAAGGAAUAGCAGUUAAAAACAAGACGGCUUGAGAAAGCGAGAUAGCACUGUAUGUCCUGACUGGCUCCCUCCCAUUCAGUGACCAGAGGAAUGGCAGUUAUGGAUAGUAGGAAUCUCUUUUGACAGCUCCUAGAGAAGACAAGAUGGCGUUCUGUCUCUUGCCUGUCUGUUUCCCACUCAGUGGCCAAAGUAAUGGCAGUUAAUGAUAGUGGGAGGGGCUCUUGAUAGCUGCUUGAGAAAACAAGAUGAUGGCAAAUGCCUCCCACUCAGAUGCUAGAGGAAUGGCAGUUACAGACAUUAGGAUUGUCUCAACAGCUACUCGAGAGGACAAGAUGGCGCUGCUGUGUCUAACUGACCCCUUCCGCUGCUAUUCCUUUGGCUAAAGGAAUGGCAGUUAAAGGCAAUGGGAGUGUCUCUUGACAGCUGCUCUGGAAAACAAAAUGGUGCUUGUCUCCUGACUACCUGCCUCUUACUUAGUGGCCAAAGAAAUGGCAAUUAAAGGUAGUGGAGAAGAAACGAUGGAGCUGUGUUUGGCGGUUUCUUUGCCACUCAGUGGCCAAGAAAUUGCAGUUAAAGAUGGUGGAAGAGAAUUUUGACAGCUGCUGGAGAAGAAACAAUGGAGCUGUGUCUCCUCACUGACUGCCUUCCUCUCAGUGACCAAAGAAAUAGCAGUCAAAGACAGUGGGGGCUACUCUCAACACCUCCUUAAGAAGACAAGAUGGUGCUGUGUCUCCCGACUGACAGCCUCCUAAAUCAAUGGCCAAAGGAUUGGCAGUUAAAAGCAGUGGAAGGGACUCUCAAGAGCUGCGAAACAAAACAUGAUGGAGCUAUGUGUGAUUGUUUGCCACUCAGUGGCCAAAAAAUGGCAGUUUAAUGAAGGGGCAAAGAUGCGCCGGUACACCUACGAUCUCACUGAAGGUAGGAGUCCCCUUGGUGAAGAGGGCAAGGCUAGGAAAGACACCAAAAGUUGAAUCUUCAAACUGCAGAAGCUAUUUAUUGUGUGGCCAUAGCAAUAACGUCAAAAUGCUUCCAGGAAUGCAAUCAAAGGUUUUGUUGCAACCUGAAAAUGGGUUGCAAGGCUUUUUAUCACUUUUACAGAAAGUAGAAAACAUAUUCUCAUUGGUUCUCAAAGAUCAAUCAUUUCUUUGGGUUAACAAUUGAUUAUGUCAUCAGCAUCUUUAUUUUCAGGCAAUUUAAUUGGUUUUCCGUUUCUAACACGCAAAGAGCAACGUAUGAUUCAUGAACAAUGGCCUUUUCAUGUUUUCUGACCCUGAACACUGCACCUGCUUAUCUACUUCUGUUGCAAGCUUAACUCCACAAUGGCUAGGAAGGGACUCUUGAGAACUACUAAAUAAAACAUGAUGGAGCUGUGUGUGAUUGCUUGCCACUCAGUGGCCAAAAAAUGGCAGUUAAAAACAGCAGGAGGUGCUCUCAAAAGCCAUUGCCUGGAGAAGACAAGAUGGUGCCAUAUCCCUGGACUCCUUCCCUUCUUAAGGUGGCAAUGUAUCGCCUGACUGACUGCCUCCCACUCAGAGGCCAAAAGAAUGGCAAUUAAACAGAGUAGGACAAGCUCUCAAUAGCUGCCCGAGAAGACAAGAUGGUGCUGUGUCUUUUGACUGCCUCCUUCUCACUCGGUGGUCAAAGGAAUGGCAGUUAGACAGUGGGAGGAGUUUCUAAGGGCUGUAAAAGAAAAUAAGAUGGCAGUGUAUCUCCUGAUUGACUCCCUCCCACUCAGUUGCCAAAGGAAUGGCAGUUACAGGCAUUAGGAGUGUCUCAACAGUUGCUCUAGAAGACAAGUCUGACUGACCCCUCCCACUGCCAUUGCUUUGACUAAAGGAAUGGCGGUUUAAGGCAAUGAGAGUCUCUUGACAAUUGCUAGAGAAAACAAAAUGGCGCCUGUCUCUUGAAUGAUAGAACCAAUUAGGAAAUGACAUUUAUAACCCAGGAACGAAAAUCAGGCUACAUAGUGUAACAACUCUCAGAAGACAAAUCCACACAUGUGUAGGGCCAAUUGUGUAGGGUUCAUUGCAGAAAAGGUCUUGUCAAGUAUAUUUAAUUAGGGUUUACUCUAGGUUGAUAGGGCUUACUGCAGAAAUAUGUAAAAUAAAAUGGUGCUUGUCUCCUAACAGACUGCCUCCCAUUCAGUGGCCAUUAAAGGCAAUGGGAGGGACUCCUGAGAACUGCAAGAGAAGAACCAGUGGAGCCAUGUGUGGCUGUUUGUUUGCCACUCGGUGGCCAAAGAAAAGGCCUGUUAAAGGCAGUGGGAGCAGCUCUGAACAUUGCCUGGAGAAGACAAGAUGGCGCAGUGUCUCUGGAUUUCUUCCUUCCCACUCAGCAGUCAAAGGAAUGGCAGUUAAAGGCAGCGGGAGGGGCUAUGAACAACUCCUCCUUCUGUGUUCCCUUUUCUUCAUUUUCCUGGCAUCCAGAAGUUCGCUCCUUUUGAACCCUUUGCAACAGCUCUGCUCGUGGAGGCCAAAAACAAAGAGAUCCAGUCAAUACAUACUCAGCUGCUUGCAAUUUUAAAGGAACUCAGUGCCUAAGUUUGAAGAGAGGGGCCUGUGCUGAGACACUCCCAGAUAAUUACUCUGCAGGAGAAGCCAUAAUUGGCCUGGCUGCUGGUUCAUGCCCAGCCAGCUUCUACUAAAUGUGGUUCUUGCUCACUCUUCAGCCUCUGUAAAGUGAGAAAAAGUUUGGAUGAGGAGGGUUCUUUUUACUAUUUUUUUUUAAACAUGUCACCUUCCAGAAUUCCUCAAUCCAGAGGAUGAUUGAUUCUCGGACUCAUAGGCCUCUGAUCCUGUGUUGAUUCUCAGCUUCAUGACAAAUGCACAGCAUGAAGAUAUUUGGCAGGAGACAACCAAGUGAUUGCUACUGAGUGCCCUUUCUCCUGCUGAAAAUACAUUCGUCCAGAUGUGGAGAACUCUUUAUGUGUGCCACCGAUGAAAGAGAUCUGCUGCCAGUCUAGUUCGCUUCUAUACAUCAGAGAUGAAUGAAUAAAUGCUAAGGAUGAAAGGGCCAUUCUCCAAACUCUUGGUUAUUCUAUGGAUCACACCUGCCAUUUCAAAGAAAAAUAUAAGUGACUACAGGAACAAGAAAAACAGCAACAAGAUUUUAAACCCACUCCCAAGAUAUUUGUGUCCUCCUUUUCUGUUUGUAGGGGAAUAGCACCCUCUAGUGGUUUCUGUGUGAUUCUAAGAGUAUGUGUUAAAAACUGAGAAAAUUGGCUAAUUUCUGGAGAAGCUUAGAUCUCACAUCAGUGGUCUUUGAGGGGCAACAUUAUUUUGACCUCUGUAGUAGAAUGGAGGAAGAAUUCCUUCUAGUCCUUUAAGAUAUCAUGAAGCAGUGGUGUCCUUGAGCAAGCAAACGAAGGCCCCUUACACACAGCUGUUUGAAAUCCGCAUUGAAUUGGGUUAUAUAGCAGUGUGGGCUCAGUUCAAAGUAGAUGUGGAUUAUCUGCCUUUAUAUUCUGUGUUAUAUGGCUGUGUGGAAGGGCUCUUUUUGUCAUGUCAGAAGCAACUUGUGAACAUGUUGCAAGUCGCUUCUGGUGUGAGAGAAUUGGCCGUCUACAGCAAUGUCACCCAUGGGACGUUCGGAUGUGUUAACUGGGAGGCUUCUCUCAUGUCCCCGCAAGCUAAAGCUGACAGAUAGGAACUCACCCAUCUCAAGGAUUCAAACCAGCGACUUUCAGGUCAGCAACCCAACCUUCAGGUCAGCAGUUCAGCUGGCACAAGGGUUUAAUUUAUUGCGCCACUGCUGCUCCUCUAAUAUUGUUAUAUAAAGCUAUGUAGCCAAUACGUGGUCUGAUGAGAGUCAUAAUCUAGCACAUUUGAAUGACAACAAGUUAAGGGGUUGCUGCUGCAUACAUUUACUCGGGGAAUAAGUCUCACAAGUGAUAGCUGCUAUUUCUUAUCUUAGGUCAAUGAGCCAUCCGAAACACCCUGGAACUGUCCAAUAUGCUAAACUUGUAUGGAUGGAAAUAUGAUUCAGUACCCUGAAUACCCCUUUAAAAUAUCACUGCCCAUCAUCAUGGAAGCCACCUGUUGCCAAUCAAUCUAACUAAAUUCAGUGAAACAUGCUGAAUACCCUACAUUUCAGUAAGCCGUAGAGCACAAUCCAAAGAAUAUACACUCAAAUGUAAGCCCACAGUCUUCAAUGAUGUUUACUUGCUGUUCAUAAUUCUCUGGCUACCACCCCAAAGAUGUCAGAGGGCUCGACAUAAUCUAUAUACAUAGUAAGGAGUGAAUGCAUAGCCUUCCAGAUAUUUGGCUGAUGCUCCCAUCAACCUUAAGCAGCAGCAAUCAUUGAUGAGAGUUGUGGUCCAAUAUCAUUUAUAAGGCCAGAGCUGCCCAUUCCUGCUCUGGCCAUUCAGCCUACAAGAAGCCAAAUAUUGUAUAAAGGGUAAGCUCGAAUGAAGCAUUACUUUAUUUAUUUGGCACUAAAACACUAAUAUAUAUGUAUUUUGUUUACACUUAAGUCUUUGAAAGCUCAGCCGUAACCAUUUCCCCAGAAAUUAUUCCUCUCUCAUUUUGCUUUAUGAACCAUGACUCUGUAUGUGAACUUUAUCAUUUCAUGAGUUUUCAGCCAUUCAUCAACUGAUAGCAGUCCAGCUUUUCCACUUGUGAGCUGCAUCAAUUUGAACUGCUGUCAAUGUAGCUGAAAUUAAUUCCGUGUCCUGCCUUUUCACAGUGCCUUUUUCGCUACUCUUACAGAAUUAUUCAAGGGUCUAGGGAAAUUAAACAUUUUACUAUCUUUUUGAUUACUUUUA